rnacentral:misc_RNA from 1 species
GAUGAAGAACGUAGCGAAAUGCGAUACGUAAUGUGAAUUGCAGAAUUCAGUGAAUCAUCGAGUCUUUGAACGCACAUUGCGCCCCCUGGUAUUCCGGGGGGCAUGCCUGUCCGAGCGUCAUUGCUGCCCUCAAGCACGGCUUGUGUGUUGGGCCUCCGUCCUCCUCCCGGGGGACGGGCCCGAAAGGCAGCGGCGGCACCGCGUCCGGUCCUCGAGCGUAUGGGGCUUCGUCACCCGCUCUUUAGGCCCGGCCGGCGCUUGCCGACACAUCAAUCUUUUUUCCAGGUUGACCUCGGAUCAGGUAGGGAUACCCGCUGAACUUAAGCAUAUCAAUAAGGGAGGA